AACGAACGCUGGCGGCGUGCCUAACACAUGCAAGUCGUGCGAGAAAGUUCCUUCGGGAGCGAGUAAAGCGGCGCACGGGUGAGUAACACGUAGGUAACCUGCCCCCCAGUCUGGAACAACUAGAGGAAACUCUAGCUAAUGCCGGAUGAGACCACGAUCCCUUCGGGGGUUGCGGCCAAAGAUGGCCUCUACUUGUAAGCUAUCGCUGAGGGAUGGGCCUGCGGGCCAUUAGCUUGUUGGUGAGGUAACGGCUCACCAAGGCUGUGAUGGCUAGCUGGUCUGAGAGGAUGACCAGCCACACUGGGACUGAGACACGGCCCAGACUCCUACGGGAGCAGCAGUGGGAAUAUUGCGCAAGUGGGCGAAAGCCUGACGCAGCGACGCCGCGUGGGUGA
rnacentral:rRNA from 1 species